rnacentral:rRNA from 1 species
GAGUUUGAUCUUGGCUCAGAUUGAACGCUGGCGGCAUGCCUUACACAUGCAAGUCGAACGGCAGCACGGGAGCUUGCUCCUGGUGGCGAGUGGCGAACGGGUGAGUAAUGCAUCGGAACGUAUCCUGGAGUGGGGGGAUAACGUAGCGAAAGUUACGCUAAUACCGCAUAUUCUGUGAGCAGGAAAGCGGGGGACCUUCGGGCCUCGCGCUCUUGGAGCGGCCGAUGUCGGAUUAGCUAGUUGGUGAGGUAAAGGCUCACCAAGGCGACGAUCCGUAGCAGGUCUGAGAGGAUGAUCUGCCACACUGGAACUGAGACACGGUCCAGACUCCUACGGGAGGCAGCAGUGGGGAAUUUUGGACAAUGGGGGCAACCCUGAUCCAGCCAUGCCGCGUGAGUGAAGAAGGCCU